GGGGCGUCGUCCCAACGGGGAAUACGACGUGGGGACGCGUCAAGUCGCUCUAUCGUUGAACACGAUUCCCGACGUUGCGAUAGAGGCAAGGACGAAGUUACCGCUGGCUGUGCCGCGCGGGUACGGGGCUGAGGCGCGAGACACUACCGGGCUGGUUUCCGUUACACUUUCGUCCGCGGUGGGUACGGAGAUGAGAAAUCACCACGGACUACACACGUAGUAACGUUUGCGGCCGCUUCUUCGGACGCGGGUUCGAUUCCCGCCGCCUCCACCA
rnacentral:tmRNA from 1 species